AAGGGAGAGUAACGGGUGGUUACUUACCCUCAGGACCGGAAUAGUGUCGGGAAACUGACAGUAAUGCCGGAUAAUAUCUUUGGAUCAAAGGUGUGAUUCCGCCUGGGGAUAGGACCGCUUUCUAUUAGCUUGUUGGCGGGGUAAUGGCCCACCAAGGCUGAGAUGGAUACCGGGUGUGAGAGCAUGGCCCGGCUCACUGGGACUGAGACACUGCCCAGACACCUACGGGUGGCUGCAGUCGAGAAUCUUCGGCAAUGGGCGAAAGCCUGACCGAGCGACGCCGCGUGCGGGAUGAAGGCCUUCGGGUUGUAAACCGCUGUCAGUUGGGAGGAAGGCGCUGUGAAGAGCAGCGUUUGACCGAUCUUCAGAGGAAGGACGGGCUAAGUUCGUGCCAGCAGCCGCGGUAAGACGAACCGUCCGAACGUUAUUCGGUAUCACUGGGCUUAAAGAGUUCGUAGGCGGCCUAGUAGGUGAGGUGUGAAAUCCAACGGCUCAACCGUUGAAUUGCGCCUCAAACCGCUAGGCUCGAGGAUGGCAGGGGUGUUGGGAACAGAUGGUGGAGCGGUGAAAUGCGUUGA
rnacentral:rRNA from 1 species